rnacentral:rRNA from 1 species
AUGUUUGAAGGGAUGGAGGGGAUGAGCUACGGCGGCGGCGGUGGUGCUGGUGCUGGUGCUGGUGCUGGUGCUGGGGCUGGGGCGGCGGCGCUGUCGUCGCGGGACCCCAAGCAGCGGCUGCGGUGGACGCCGGACCUCCACGACCGCUUCGUGCACGCCGUCGCCAGGCUCGGCGGCCCCGACAAGGCGACGCCCAAGGCAGUGCUGAGGCUGAUGGCCAUGAAGGGCCUCACUCUGUACCACCUGAAAAGCCACCUUCAGAAAUACAGGCUGGGAAAGCACACCAAGAAAUCCACAGACCUGGAACUAGCCAACAAUGGAGAGUUUACCUCGCAAGACAUCAGCUUCCAAAUCGGCGCGCCUCUUGCUGGACGCGACACCGCAAGAGAAAUGCCGCUUGAGGAUACCCUCAGGUAUCAAAUUCAGGUCCAAAGAGAACUGUGUGAACAGCUUGAGGUGCAGAAGAAGCUGCAGAUGCGAAUAGAGGCCCAAGGGAGGUAUUUAAAGGAAAUACUAGAGAAGGCUCAGGAAAACAUUUCCUUUGAUGCAAAUGGAUCUGCUGGCCUAGAAAAUACCGGAUCACAGCUGACGGACUUUAACCUGGCUCUUCCGGGCUUGUCGGAGAAUGGAACACAGGUGUAUGAAGAAAGCAGUGAACAGUUGGUGAAACAUAUGUCUGAUGACAAUCUUCAUGAUAAUAAUUUGGAUUUUCAGCUCUACCGUGUACGAAGUCAGGAGGCUAAGAGUGUCAAAUGCACCCCAAAAACUGAGGACCUGCUCCUCUUAGACUUGAAUAUAAAAGGAGGAUAUGACCUGUCUUCGAGAGGAAUGCAAGGGUGA